rnacentral:misc_RNA from 1 species
CCUUCAAACCGUUGCUUCGGCGGGCGGCCCGGGUCCGCCGGAAGGCCCCUGGCCCCCUAGCGGGGCGCCCGCCGGAGGAAAACCCAACUCUUGAUUAUUAUGGCCUCUCUGAGUCUUCUGUACUGAAUAAGUCAAAACUUUCAACAACGGAUCUCUUGGUUCUGGCAUCGAUGAAGAACGCAGCGAAAUGCGAUAAGUAAUGUGAAUUGCAGAAUUCAGUGAAUCAUCGAAUCUUUGAACGCACAUUGCGCCCGCCAGUAUUCUGGCGGGCAUGCCUGUUCGAGCGUCAUUUCAACCAUCAAGCCCCAGGCUUGUGUUGGGGACCUGCGGCUGCCGCAGGCCCUGAAAACCAGUGGCGGGCUCGCUGUCACACCGGGCGUAGUAGAUUUUAUCUCGCUCUGGGCGUGCUGCGGGUUCCGGCCGUUAAAAAACCCUUUUUACCCAAGGUUGACCUCGGAUCAGGUAGGAAUACCCGCUGAACUUAAGCAUAUCAAUAAGCGGAGGAAUU